rnacentral:sRNA from 1 species
UGUAUAUUGACACUGAAGCCGCCACAGG